UUAUUGAAGCUGAGGCCCAAAAUCAAUUAUACAAAAAAAACCCUAAUUGAACAGUUGGUGCCUCUUUCUAUUCAUGCUUCAUCUCAUCGUUUUAUACUUUCCUAUGUUCCAAACCUCUUCAAAUGCUUCUUCUCCAAAGCAACAACAAAUACUCUUUGCUCUCUAAAGCUUCCUUCAUUCUCGUUUUCAACUAUCACACUUCAUCUAUUUAUCCCACAAAUUCCUUCACUCAAAACAAAAACUACAACAGUAAAAACUUCGUUCCUCUAUCUCUUCAUUUCAGAAUCUCUCUAUGUUUUUCUCUUGGUUUACUCACUCUCUUUCACAAUCGAUCAAACAAGAAAAAACUAA